rnacentral:rRNA from 1 species
AUUGAACGCUGGCGGCAUGCCUUACACAUGCAAGUCGAACGGUAAUAGGUCUUCGGAUGCUGACGAGUGGCGAACGGGUGAGUAAUACAUCGGAACGUGCCCGAUCGUGGGGGAUAACAAAGCGAAAGCUUUGCUAAUACCGCAUACGAUCUACGGAUGAAAGCAGGGGACCGCAAGGCCUUGCGCGAACGGAGCGGCCGAUGGCAGAUUAGGUAGUUGGUGGGAUAAAAGCUUACCAAGCCGACGAUCUGUAGCUGGUCUGAGAGGACGACCAGCCACACUGGGACUGAGACACGGCCCAGACUCCUACGGGAGGCAGCAGUGGGGAAUUUUGGACAAUGGGCGAAAGCCUGAUCCAGCCAUGCCGCGUGCAGGAUGAAGGCCUUCGGGUUGUAAACUGCUUUUGUACGGAACGAAAAGACUCUGGUUAAUACCUGGGGUCCAUGACGGUACCGUAAGAAUAAGCACCGGCUAACUACGUGCCAGCCGCCGCAGUAACAC